rnacentral:lncRNA from 1 species
UGGGACUGUCCCGAACUCUCACAAAGCUUCGGAUAAUUGUGUGCUCUUCUACAGGGUAUUGGGACAUGGAGACUGCUGCUAAGCCACUGUAGCUACUGCUGCUGUAUACAGCCUGAGUCUGUGCAGCUGUGUGUGUCUGCAGCUGUUUCCUGUUUCCCACGAGCUACCUGUCUGUGGGUCUGUACACCAGUGUGUGACUGACGGUCUUUGUGUCUAUCCAUAGUGGACAAAAUGACCAGCGAUCUCAACGCCUCUCUGGCAACAGCAGACGAGCUGUCGAAGGAGUUUGACAGCCUGUUUCAGGAGGUUGCCAAGCCCAGUAAAGAGAGCUCUAAUUCCAGUCAGCAGUCCAGGUCGGAGACCCCCAAGAAGGAACAGAACACCAGUGCUCCCAGUUCCUCUGCGGGAAUGGGGCGUAACACCUGGGAUAACAAGGAGGCUUCCCAGUCUCUGCCAUACAGCUCCAGCGCCGUGGAAUCUGGGAGUAGUGCCUCCUACAGGUCGCUGGACUUGGCGUCAGGAAGCAACAAGUUUGACCCCCCCAGCAUGUCCUCCUCCCUCUACUCCCGGCAGUUCACACCCCCAAUGAGUAAAAAAACCUUCUCCUCCCUCCCCCCGAGUUUUGACUCCACAUACUCUGGUGGCCAGCUGACCCCCCC